rnacentral:rRNA from 1 species
AACACACCUCGAGAUGAGAUUUCCCAUUCCUUUAUGGAAGUAAGACCCCUGAAAGAUGAUCAGGUAGAUAGGUUAGAAGUGGCAGUGCGGUGACGCAUGAAGCGGACUAAUACUAAUCGGUCGAGGACUUAACCAAG